GUUGAAUUUUGCGAGAUUCUUGUGGAUGCACUUCUCAUUUUUGUCCAGAGUUGCAUCCUGGAUAAACUGAAGACCAUAUAGUGUGGAAUUAAUAAAAAACCUCAGGACAAAACUCUCAAACGACUGGUGUGUAAAAGAGGAGAAUGGGCGAACCACGUGCCAGGCUACUGGAGGCCAGUCCUUUUCAUACCCUGUAAUUUUGCAGGGGAUUGUUUCAGCAGCGAAG